UGUAUAUAUAUGUUUAGAUAUGUAUAUACUACCUCUACAGUACAAGAUCAGAUGUAUUUUGUAACUCAUUUAUAGAUUGACUCUUUUAAGGUUAUAUAAUUUCCCAGAGGUUUAAUACUUUGUUGCAUGUUUUUGUACUUGAAAAUUCCUCUUUGUUGUAACGUUAAAUAAAUACUAAAGGACCAAGUAUCGUAAAACAGUAAAAUGUUCUGCCUGUAAUUCAUAUCUUUGCUGUUGCAAGCAUUAAGGGACCAAAAAAGAAAUUGUUAUACUCAUUAUAUAUUUUUUUAGAUUAAUCGGCCAAUUAAUUGGCUAUCGGAAUUUUUUCUGCCGAAUAUCGGCAUCGGCCUCAAAAACUCCGUAUCAGUCGGGCUUUAAUAUUUACAUAUGAAAGAACCAAAAUUAUUCUUUUGGUGACAAAGAUUCAUGUGUUUAAAUGAUUCCAUCACAGAAAAUCCAGAGUUCUAGGAGUCACUGGAAACUAAAGUAUGGCAUGAUGGAGUUUACAGGUGAAUGGAAACUUUAGUUUACGACUAUAGUUGACCAGACUUACAUGUAAAAAUCUGAUGUUCACAGGUGAACACUGAUGUUCACAGGUGAACACUGAUGUUCACAGGUGAACACUGAUGUUCACAGGUGAACACUGAUGUUCACAGGUGAACACUGAUGUUCACAGGUGAACACUGAUGUUCACAGGUGAACACUGAUGUUCACAGGUGAACACUGAGGUGAGAAGUUGAUCCUGAUGAAGCAGCAGCUCAGACGUCGGUGUUUUUCUGCCUGGAGCUGCAGCUCAGAGAGUUUCAGUUGAUAAAUAAUUCUGUCAGAAAACGCUGCCGCUGCACCAAAAUAACUCAUCAUUUAUUCUCUGUUCUGUCAGACGGUUUGGAUUCUGUCCUGGAAAUCUUCUCGCAGCUGAUGAUGAAGAGCAGAAACCAGCAGAUUUUCUGUUUAAAAAGCAGCUCGAGGAGUUUCAGAGUGGAUUUAUUUCAUCAGUAUUUAGUAUCAAUGUGAAAAUUCUUGUUUUUUUUAGACGAAUAAAUAAACGUUGAGUGAAACUGUGAUGACUUCUGUGCUCAGAUUGUAGAAUCGCAGGUGGAUGUUUCGAACACAGCAGCACUUUCUCCAUGUAGAUCAGAGUUUUAUUGAUUAACUCACAUUUUAUGUUCUAAUCUCACUUGUUUGAAGAUGGGUGUUGCUAAACUUAGCUCUAUUAAAAUGCAGAUAUUCUGGGAUUCUGUCUUAAUGAAUGAAUUGCAGCAACUUUGUUCUCAUUUCCAGAUAUUUACCUUGAAGCUGAUGUGACUUUAAGGACAAAUAGUCCAGUUUGAAGCUUCUGUAACUUGAAUUUCUGGCAGUUUUUUGAUUAUAUGAAGAAUUUUUAGCUUUUUGAAACGACUUUCAAGGUAAGAUUUACAUGAGAAAGAAGAUUCUGUAUUUAAAAAUAAUAGUAAUCUGGCGGCAAAAGUGUCAAAAAGUAUGUAAAAAAUAAAAAAUAAUAUAACAGCAAAUAUUCAAAUUCUAUUUUUGCUGUUUCAAAUAUAACAAAAAUGCAAUUUUAUAGUUACACAUUGUUAAAGUAAAUUUGCUUUUUAUGAAAAUACAGAUAUUUGAUGUGGACAUUGUUUUUUAAUUACAGUUUACAUGUAAAUUAAUAAUUUAAUGUGAUUUAAUCAGUUAUCUAAUAAAACUAGGAAAAUCUGUAAAAACAUAAAAAUGUAUUUACUAUUUCUCAAUAAUGACAAAUAUAUUUGCGGUUGAUGUAUUACUGCUCAGUUUGCAUCAUUAUCUGGUGUUUUUGUGCCUCGUGUUUUAUGUGUAUUUGUGUUCAUUUUGUGUCACUGUUUCAUUGAUCUUCAUCCCUUUCUGGUGUUUUUCUGUGUUUUUAUCAUCGUUUUGUGGCUCUUUGUAGUUGGUUUGAGUUACUUUGGUGUCUCAUUGGGUCUCAGUUUGCCUUUGCUCUGCAUUGUUUGGGACCAUUUGGCAUUUCUCUGGUCAUUUUGUGUGUUGCGGUCUUUUUGAAUUUAUUUGUGCUCAUUUUGCAUCUCGCAGUGGUCAGUUUAUGUGUCUUAGAGGUGGUUUUGUCUCUUUUUGCAUUAAUUAGUGUCUAUUUGUGUUAUUUUGCAUGACUUUUUAAUUGACUGGCAUCUGUUUCUGGUCUUUUUUCGCAUCUUUGCAGUUAAGUGUUUUUGUUUAUUGGUUUGAAUCUCUUACUGUUUAUUGUGUGUUUCUUGGCAUUGUUUUGUGGGUCUUCGUAGUUUGUUGGAGUAAUUUUGGUGUUUCGUGUCUCUUUACAUCUGGCAGUGAUCCUUUUGUGACUUAGAAGCACUGUUCCCUCUAAGCUGCCUACGUGCGCAAUUGCGCACUGCUGACACGCUCUCCGUGCACAGAAAAUCUGCGCAGCACACACAAAAAAAUCCAACCUAAAUUGAAAAUAAAAUAAACACGUAACAAUUCAUUCUGUGCUAUUUUUCAGUGUGAGUCAGUGAGUGACCAGUGACUGGCUGCUGCAGCUAAUGAUGCGAUUCACAUACGUAUUUACCAUAGACUGUAUAUAAUGGUAUUUACGCAGCUAAUCAACGUCAUUGACAGGCGUCCUUAUGUGCAGCCAUCGUUGUUGUCAUAGAUAUGAAUGAGUAGAUAGGACACGCCCCUUUGAGCUGCGUGCUACAGCGAGGCUAAGCUAGUGGGGGCAAAGUUUCAGUGCAUUUCGUUGAUGUAGACGGCGUGGAAACGGAAACAACAAGUAUGCCGGCUCACUGUGCUGCAUACAAUUACACACUACGUCAUACGAUUGAGACAAGGAAACAUGGAAUGACUUUUCAUAGGUUUCCCAGAGACUAUGGGCUGAGGAGGAAUUGAAAGUUUGUCUGCUUAGACCUGGUGUCAUUCCAUCAGUGUUAAACUUCCCGGCUCAUCUUGGAAGAGUACGUGCCAGAAAGACCACGACCAAGCAGCCUUGAGAUCUUAGACAGCGUCUCCCUGAGGUCCCUCUCUAUCUCCCCACACAUCCACCAACCACUGGAACACAUCUCCAAAGUUCUGCCAGGCCAGCUCAGCUUCCCCUCAGAAGAAGUGCCACCAGAUGAAGGAGCCUUUUGAGAGGCAGCUGGCAUCGUGAUUGGACUGUACUUUGGUCUGUUCCAAUCCAGCUUCAGCUCCAGAGACGGCAGGCGGGACGAGUCAACGGAGGCCGGAUGGACGAAGACAUGCAGCUGAGUACAAUCCAGAAAACAACAGAGGAGGAGUGCAGGGCCAGAACAACCAGAGUAGCAUCGUAUGUCUCUUAGAAAACAUCAUAGUAUAGCUUUUGGUAUGAAAAAAACGCCAUCAUAUACAUUGAAUAUUGUACAAAUAACAAGUCAAAGGAAAGAGACAUACAUUGUAGAAUUGUAGUAAUUGUGGGCUGACUGAUUUACUGAUUAUCAGUAUUUUAUUUUGUACUGAUUUACGGUAAUAAAUACAUUUUAAAGUGG